UGUAUAUAUAUAUAUGUGUGUGUGUGUGUUUAUAUAUGUGUGUAUGUGUAUAUAUGUGUAUGUAUAUGUGUGUGUGUAUGUAUGUAUAUAUGUAUAUGUACACUAUAUAUGUGUAUAUGUAAGUGGUGUAAAAGGACAGAAAGCAGUGAUGAUUCAUAUAAAAAAAAAAGACUGCUGGUAAGUUUUCACAUUGACUUUAUUGUAAAGUUGCUGUCAAAUGAAGGCAUUGGAAGAUGAUCCAGUCUCACGGAAGUUAACUUAAAAUCCCAACGUAGUUAACAUUGCAAAAAAACAAAACAGAAGGUACAUUUUUUUUUUCCUUCAUAUUUUACAAGCAGCCUCGUCACUGCAAAGUCUGUAAAGGCACGUGUUAUUAUCCUCAGGUUUGAUUCCCACAGGCCACCUUGAUAGUCUGCACCUCGGAGAUGUGGGACGACCUCUGGAUGAUGCGGCUGGUGAGCGUGGAGCUCCGUCCCGGCACGGCGGCGAUGGCGGCGGGGGUCCUGGAGACGCCGCAGCUCAGCCCCACUGCAGCACCGGGCGCCGUCUUGAUGUCCGCCCUGCAGUUCUGCCCUUGGGCCAGGCUGGUCAAGGCCACGGCGGCGUUGAUCUCCCGCCAGUCUUGCUUCUGUGGACUCUGCUGACCUCGGUCCUGAUGCUGACCGCUGAAACAUCCAAAAAGUACGGAGAAGCUGCUGAUGGUGUGUUUGACAAGGAAGCAACAGGAAGGAGAUGAGUGGUAAGUCCAUUUUCCCAGUUAAAUGCUUUACAUUGACACGACAACACUUCGUAUAUUAUCAGAGAGCUCCGGUUCGGACGUUUUUUUAUCACGGGACACAUUUCCGGGUGUUGUUGCUGUUUCCGGGUGAGGAGAUGCUGCUCGUUGUUGAUUGAAGUAAAGUCGGAAUGUCAUUAAAACAGAACCAAAGAACCACCAUUACAUGUUAUGUAGACCACAAGGAAGUCUUUCACAUUCAGAAAUAAAAAUAAUAUGACUCUU